UGAGGGCAUGUUCCUAGCAGCUGCCAGAACUAUUUGUUUUGGUGAUCCUCCCUGCUUGUCCCAAGCACAGCACUGGCUGCCAACUUACACUUGUCCUUGGUGGAAUGGAAACAUGCAUCUGGAUGAGCUGCUGAGUUUCAAAACUGAGGAUGUGAUUCUGAGGCCUCAGAAACUGGGAAACAUCCAUAAAAGUAUUGCUGCUCUCAAGUGUUCAUGGCAACUGAGAGGAAGACAGUAGAUUAGAGCUGGAAGCAGAGGAUCCAUGGAGGACAGGAAAUCCCUGAUAGAUGAAGAAGCCAUGGGAUGGAAAGAAUUGAGUCUGAAACACAGCACAGAGAAACACAGACAUUACCUCUGCCACAUUACUCCAUGUCCUCAAAAUCCCCAUAAAUAAACUAGAUCUUGGUAAGUCAGUAAGAUUUUAGAUUAGCAAUUGCCCUGUGCUGAUGAAAACAAUAAUGCAAUAAACAUAAUCAUUGUAUGGUGGUGUUCAUAUAAAAUUGAAAGAUCAAUUUCAAUACAUUUGAUACAAAAAUCUCAGGUUUGUUACUUUAGGACACACCAGCCAAUAUGGUGUCUCAUUUUUAAGAUGGAGCACAUGAACUUUGAGCUUCCCAAGUGGCACUGGUGAUAAAGAACCCAUCUGCCAAGGCAGGAGACAUAUGUGGGUUCAAUCCCCUGGAGAUGAACCUGCCAAUCCACUCC